AUUGAACGCUGGCGGAAUGCUUUACACAUGCAAGUCGAGCGGCAGCACGGGGGCAACCCUGGUGGCGAGCGGCGAACGGGUGAGUAAUACAUCGGAACAUGCCCAGUCGUGGGGGAUAACACUUCGAAAGAAGUGCUAAUACCGCAUACGUCCUGAGGGAGAAAGCGGGGGAUCUUCGGACCUCGCGCGAUUGGAGUGGACGAUGUCAGAUUAGCUAGUUGGUGGGGUAAAGGCCUACCAAGGCAACGAUCUGUAGCUGGUCUGAGAGGAUGAUCAGCCACACUGGGACUGAGACACGGCCCAGACUCCUACGGGAGGCAGCAGUGGGGAAUUUUGGACAAUGGGGGCAACCCUGAUCCAGCCAUUCCGCGUGAGUGAAGAAGGCCUUCGGGUUGUAAAGCUCUUUCGGCAGGAACGAAACGGCGAGCUCUAACAUAGCUUGCUAAUGACGGUACCUGAAGAAGAAGCACCGGCUAACUACGUGCCAGCCGCCGCAGUAAAAC
rnacentral:rRNA from 1 species